AAUUAAUUAGCUUAUUUAAAGCAUAUAUUUUGAAAAUAUAAUAAAGAUUAACAUCUAUUAAUUU
rnacentral:tRNA from 1 species